CCUACGGGUGGCUGCAGUGGGGAAUAUUGGACAAUGGGCGAAAGCCUGAUCCAGCCAUGCCGCGUGUGUGAAGAAGGCCUUCGGGUUGUAAAGCACUUUCAGUGGGGAAGAAAGCCUUGGGGCUAAUACCCUCGAGGAAGGACAUCACCCACAGAAGAAGCACCGGCUAACUCCGUGCCAGCAGCCGCGGUAAUACGGAGGGUGCGAGCGUUAAUCGGAAUUACUGGGCGUAAAGCGCGCGUAGGCGGUCUGAUAAGCCGGUUGUGAAAGCCCCGGGCUCAACCUGGGAACGGCAUCCGGAACUGUCAGGCUAGAGUGCAGGAGAGGAAGGUAGAAUUCCCGGUGUAGCGAUGAAAUGCGUAGAGAUCGGGAGGAAUACCAGUGGCGAAGGCGGCCUUCUGGACUGACACUGACGCUGAGGUGCGAAAGCGUGGGUAGCAAACAGGAUUAGAUACCCCGGUAGUC
rnacentral:rRNA from 1 species